GUCGAACGAUGAACCACUUCGGUGGGGAUUAGUGGCGAACGGGUGAGUAACACGUGGGCAAUCUGCCCUGCACUCUGGGACAAGCCCUGGAAACGGGGUCUAAUACCGGAUACUGAUCGCCUUGGGCAUCCUUGGUGAUCGAAAGCUCCGGCGGUGCAGGAUGAGCCCGCGGCCUAUCAGCUUGUUGGUGAGGUAAUGGCUCACCAAGGCGACGACGGGUAGCCGGCCUGAGAGGGCGACCGGCCACACUGGGACUGAGACACGGCCCAGACUCCUACGGGAGGCAGCAGUGGGGAAUAUUGCACAAUGGGCGAAAGCCUGAUGCAGCGACGCCGCGUGAGGGAUGACGGCCUUCGGGUUGUAAACCUCUUUCAGCAGGGAAGAAGCGAAAGUGACGGUACCUGCAGAAGAAGCGCCGGCUAACUACGUGCCAGCAGCCGCGGUAAUACGUAGGGCGCGAGCGUUGUCCGGAAUUAUUGGGCGUAAAGAGCUCGUAGGCGGCUUGUCGCGUCGGUUGUGAAAGCCCGGGGCUUAACCCCGGGUCUGCAGUCGAUACGGGCAGGCUAGAGUUCGGUAGGGGAGAUCGGAAUUCCUGGUGUAGCGGUGAAAUGCGCAGAUAUCAGGAGGAACACCGGUGGCGAAGGCGGAUCUCUGGGCCGAUACUGACGCUGAGGAGCGAAAGCGUGGGGAGCGAACAGGAUUAGAUACCCUGGUAGUCCACGCCGUAAACGGUGGGCACUAGGUGUGGGCGACAUUCCACGUCGUCCGUGCCGCAGCUAACGCAUUAAGUG
rnacentral:rRNA from 1 species